AGGGGAUGAGGUGGUCAAGAACAAAACAUAAGAAACAAAAAAUGAGGAAAAGACAAAAAGCACAAGUUCCAUGGGCCAUUUCAUAGUUGAAAUAUCCAAUAAUAAUUGCACCUUUUUCAUUAACAUAAGAAAAAUGUCCCUGAAUAAGCCUGAAAUGGGUGACUUGUUACUGGUAGUUAGUUGAUGCUAUAGCUCUUUCACCUUUCAGUGGUUGAAACUGAUUGCAUUGAAUAAAAGAUUUUGGCACUGAUAUAUAUUAUCAUGAAAGAGGAAG
rnacentral:lncRNA from 1 species